CGGACGAACGCUGGCGGCGUGCUUAACACAUGCAAGUCGAACGGUGACGAGGAGCUUGCUCCUCUGAUCAGUGGCGAACGGGUGAGUAACACGUGAGUAACCUGCCCCAGACUCUGGAAUAACAGUUGGAAACAGCUGCUAAUACCGGAUACGAGACGGAGAGGCAUCUCUACCGUCUGGAAAGUUUUUCGGUCUGGGAUGGACUCGCGGCCUAUCAGCUUGUUGGUGAGGUAAUGGCUCACCAAGGCGACGACGGGUAGCCGGCCUGAGAGGGCGACCGGCCACACUGGGACUGAGACACGGCCCAGACUCCUACGGGAGGCAGCAGUGGGGAAUAUUGCACAAUGGGCGAAAGCCUGAUGCAGCAACGCCGCGUGAGGGAUGACGGCCUUCGGGUUGUAAACCUCUUUCAGUAGGGAAGAAGCGAAAGUGACGGUACCUACAGAAGAAGCACCGGCUAACUACGUG
rnacentral:rRNA from 1 species